rnacentral:rRNA from 1 species
AGCGAACGCUAGCGGCGGGCCUAACACAUGCAAGUCGAGCGGGGAGCAAUCCCAGCGGCGAACGGGUGAGUAACACGUAGGUAAUGUGCCUUUUGGUGGGGAAUAACCGUGGGAAACCAUGGCUAAUACCGCAUAUCGUGCUUCGGCAUGAAAGCUUCUGAGGCAACUCGGGGGCGCCAGUUGAGCAGCCUGCGUCCCAUUAUUUAGUCCUAGUUGGUAGGGUAAUGGCCUACCAAGGGUACGAUGGGUAGCUGGUCUGAGAGGAUGAUCAGCCACACUGGAACUGAGACACGGUCCAGACUCCUACGGGAGGCAGCAGUGGGGAAUAUUGCGCAAUGGGGGGAAACCCUGACGCAGCCACGCCGCGUGAGUGAUGAAGGCCUUC